rnacentral:rRNA from 1 species
UACGUAGGGUGCAAGCGUUAAUCGGAAUUACUGGGCGUAAAGCGUGCGCAGGCGGUUUUGUAAGUCUGUCGUGAAAUCCCCGGGCUCAACCUGGGAAUGGCGAUGGAGACUGCAAGGCUAGAAUCUGGCAGAGGGGGGUAGAAUUCCACGUGUAGCAGUGAAAUGCGUAGAUAUGUGGAGGAACACCAGUGGCGAAGGCGGCAUCCUGGACCGAGAUCGACGCUGAGGCGCGAAAGCUAGGGGAGCGAACGGG